rnacentral:rRNA from 1 species
AUUGAACGCUGGCGGCAUGCCUUACACAUGCAAGUCGAACGGCAGCAUGAUCUAGCUUGCUAGAUUGAUGGCGAGUGGCGAACGGGUGAGUAAUACAUCGGAACGUGCCCUGUAGUGGGGGAUAACUAGUCGAAAGAUUAGCUAAUACCGCAUACGACCUGAGGGUGAAAGUGGGGGACCGCAAGGCCUCAUGCUAUAGGAGCGGCCGAUGUCUGAUUAGCUAGUUGGUGAGGUAAAGGCUCACCAAGGCGACGAUCAGUAGCUGGUCUGAGAGGACGAUCAGCCACACUGGGACUGAGACACGGCCCAGACUCCUACGGGAGGCAGCAGUGGGGAAUGUUGGACAAUGGGCGAAAGCCUGAUCCAGCAAUGCCGCGUGUGUGAAGAAGGCCUUCGGGUUGUAAAGCACUUUUGUCCGGAAAGAAAUGGCUCUGGUUAAUACCUGGGGUGGAUGACGGUACCGGAAGAAUAAGGACCGGCUAACUACGUG